UUCAAUGGGCUGGGUUCAUUUCAUUUUCAUGACAACCCUGUGUGGGGAAAAUGUCAUGAAAAUGAAAGGAGACCAGCCCAUUGAA
rnacentral:miRNA from 1 species